GCUUCCCGCGGUUAGACGGAAAGGCCCCGUGCACCUUUACUACAGCUUUGCAGUGGCAUUAGAACACCUAUGUGUAGGAUAGGCGGGAGGCUUUGAACCGAUGGCGCCAGUCGUCGGGGAGCCAACCUUGAAAUACCGCCCUUAAGUGGUCUGAUGUCUAACCGCGCACCGUCAUCCGGUGCCGGGACCCUGCAUGGUGGGUAGUUUGACUGGGGCGG
rnacentral:rRNA from 1 species